rnacentral:piRNA from 1 species
UUCCUUGAAUUACAUUUGGAAAC